GCGGCCUCCACCCGGAGCGGCCUUCUCCACGGCCCCGGAAGCACGGGCAUCCUGAUGCACGACCUCUGCGCUCCCACGUUCUGGAGUUGCAAGGCGUUUGCCAGCACAUUGAGGCGCAGGAAAACACAGGAGUUAGGCUUGGAAGCUCUUGGGGUGUGUGACAGGCUCGCGCCUUCCCUCAGCCGCUUAAUCUGGCCUAAUGUCGCUUUGCAUCCGGCGAAAUGGAUGUGAUUCCGCGCCCAGUCUUGCUUUCCUGAGUUGGCUUCAUUCCCAGGCAGGAUCUCCCUAUGUGGUGACAAAGAUGGCCAUCAACAGCUCCAGGUUCUAUCCUACCAAUUUAGUAACCCAGCUGAAUGCACCUCUUUCUUAAUAAUUCCUUUUGAAAUCCCAGAAUGAAGUACAAUCAAGAUCAGAAGAUUCCGCUUGACUUCAAGAAGGUUACAAAACCAGGUACGGAAAGUAUCAAGAGGAAAACAAAGGUGCUUUGGAGUGUAAAACUGUACCAGGCCUACUAAACAGUUUUUCUAUCAUGAAGAUGAAUCUAGAAAACUUGAUUUAGUUGGUUGUUUCUAUAAACUUAUGAACUGUGAAGAAAUCCACCCCACGUCAUUCUUCUAUGCUUAGUGCAUCACUUUGUUGAUAAAUACACAUUUUUAUGAAGUAAAAUAGAAAACAACCACU